rnacentral:misc_RNA from 1 species
CCAACGAGCAGUGUUUUUAGAGCGACUCACAUCAUUCUAUUAUAACACAACACAGAAAAAUAACACACACAAAGGGAAAAAAAUACGAGAAAGAAAAUUGACAAAACAAACUAUAACUUUAAAUAUAUAUAUGAUAUUUAUAUAUAAAUAGUAAGAAAGUAAAAAAAAGAGAAAGGAAGAAAAGUACCCCUAUAAACUGUUGCUCCACUUCUCCUCUUCAGUCGUCACCAAUAUCUAGAAGUCGAAGCAGAAGUAGAAGAGAAAGAAGAAACAUAGAGAGAGGAAGAUAGAGAGAGAAAAAGAGGCACAGGCAGUGGUUGGUCCGUGAUCCUGAAAAACUAAUAUCACACCAUAGUGGGUUGACAUUUGCUGUGAGACAGUGAAUAUAUAUCCAAAUCCAGAAUGAGUUUAACAAUUCUCACAGUACUGCUUGCAUUAGAAGCUUGCAUGAUGUCAACGGCGGAAGCGAUUAGACCAAAUUCCAAUGACAUCAGUCCUGUAGAUGCUUGUCUUUAUUACUGCAGUGAAUGUUACAAGGACGAUGGUAAGAAAAUGAUGCAAUGUGCCAACGGUGUUUGUCCACAUGCAUCCACGUCCGCGCACGAUUUCCUGCAACUCCUCAACAACAAUGACUGCAGUGUUGAUGUCGUGUCUAACCGUCUGUACCGUCAAAACUACUUUCAAUAAGAUGAAGUAAUAGCACCCUCUAAAUUUCAAUU